CCAACAAAAUUCCUUCACUAGAAACGACCUUUUUCGACUGAUCCCAAGUCUCCUUCUCACACAGGACAUCUGAGAGGCAUAAACAAGGACAAAAAUAGAGAAACCCUAUAGAAUUGAGCAAAAUUCGAUCUCCCUCUUCACGUUUUCUUCGUCAAAAACCCACGCCAUAGCAAUUCAGAGGGGACCCAAGAUUUGAAGAUCGUGGGUACACUUUUGCAUUCAACCAAAAUCUCCUUUAUAUAUAGUGUGCCGCUACUAAUGUAACAGUAUUUUUAUAGAUAUAUAUAUGGAUACAUGACAUGUUUCCGAACUUUUCAGAGUGUUGGUGACUCCUCUCAAUGCAACAUAAGUCCGCCUCUGUAUAGCUCACCAGUCCUUGACAACCGGAUGCAGCCCUGAAACCUCCUUGUUUCCACUCCAAAACUCCAGCAAAUAACCUCCAAAACUCCGCCUGAAAAACCAGCCAUAUUCCAGUCCCAACGCAGCAAAAAGCAGGCAAAAAACGCAGCUGAAAACAGCCGCAAAUCAGUUGCCGAACCAGCUGAAAAACAGUCCCCGAACAGCCCCAAAAACCACCCCAAACCGCCACCAUUUUCAGCUCCAAACUCCAGCCAAAGCACCCCCAAAACAGUCCCCAAACACACCCAAAAAACCAGCUAGAGAAACACCAUUAAAGCACCCCCCCCCCCCCAAAGACAACCCAAAAGCGCAGCAAAACAGCUUUCAAAAUAAGCCAAAACGACCCUCAUGUCAACUCCCAAAACGCCACCACAGGUUCCAGUCGACUCGACGAGCUGUCCUUUGCAGCUUCGAGAGGUUCUAUUCGAGUUUGUCCAGCGCGGUCGUGGUCGUUUCUUGAGGUUAGCUGCCAAUUCAUUACGGGGCUGGAGUUUUCCUUUAAAUAAAUAAAAAGCUUCCAUCUUUAAGUUAACACCAAAGUUGGAUUUGAAAUGUGUACCUGGAAAACACUGAAUACUGAAAUGCAAAGAAGAAGUGAAGCAGAAAGGUCAGCAGCAGCAGGAAACCAAAUAGCAGCAGCAACAGCAGGUAACCAAAUAGAAAGCAAAAUCCCAGUGCAAGAUGCAGCUGGAACCAAUGAAAGAUGACAGAGUGUGGCAAGUUCCCAGUAAUAUGAAUCAGAAUUUAGGCAAAACAGAUCUGGGGAUGCACUGAUGCUACACACAACUAAAAAUCUCAAAUAGAACUCAAAAGAAAUCGAUAUGGGACAAGGAAAUCCGGCCAGAUGAGAAUCAAGACAAAGAGGAAAGAUGCAGUUCCUCUUUCCUGUGUUAUCCUCCCUCUAUCUAUUUCUGUCUGUGUGUAUAUAUCUGUAUGUAUUUCCACUCCCUCUUUCAAAAAUUCCUCACAAUGUGUGUCUUUUCUCUUCUCAAAUCUUCAGGGUUCUCUAGCCUCUAA